UAAUGUCUGGGAAACUGCCUGAUGGAGGGGGAUAACUACUGGAAACGGUAGCUAAUACCGCAUAACGUCGCAAGACCAAAGUGGGGGGACCUUCGGGCCUCAUGCCAUCAGAUGUGCCCAGAUGGGAUUAGCUAGUAGGUGGGGUAAUGGCUCACCUAGGCGACGAUCCCUAGCUGGUCUGAGAGGAUGACCAGCCACACUGGAACUGAGACACGGUCCAG
rnacentral:rRNA from 1 species